rnacentral:lncRNA from 1 species
CAUUUGACCGAAGGAAAUUUAGGAGGGACUGGAACACUUACAAGACAUAUAAGAGCUGUCCAUCCCAUAGAAUGGACUAGAACAUUGUAACUUUGUAAGUUUUAGUAUGUUUGUUUCAGAGAUUGGAUUAGAUAGAUCGGAACGAAGAAAUCAGGAAAGGAAGAUGUUCACAGAUCAUAGCCCAGAAGAGAGGGACUGGAACACUUACAAGACAUAUGAGAGCUGUCCAUCCAAUAGAAUGGGUCAAUAAUUAUGGGAAGCAAUAAUUUGUAACUUGUAAGUUUUAGACUUUUAGUAUGUUUGACUGUUUGUUUCAGAGAUUGGAUUAGAUAGAACGGAACGAAGAAAUCAGGAAAGGAAGAUGUUCACAGUUCAUACUUCAUAGCCCAGAAGACGAAGAACUUUAACUUGGAGAUAUUGAUUAUGAUGAAGAUG